rnacentral:rRNA from 1 species
AUGAAAGUUAUCUCAUGGAACUGUUGGGGGCUUGGGAACCCCGCGGCAGUUCGUAGCCUUCUGGAACUCCAGAAGGCCGAAGAGCCUGACAUCCUCUUCCUCUCGAAAACCAAAAUGACCGAGAAGGAAGUGGAUUUCUUGAGGUGGAGAUUGAAUAGGGUGAACAUGGUGGCGGUGAACUGUGUGGGGAGGAGUGGUGGGCUGGUGCUUUUUUGGAGGAGAGGGAUAGAUGUUCAGUUAAGAUGGAAGAGGAAAUACCACAUUACUAUUGAUGUGGUGCAGGAGGAUGGCAGCAAAUGGAGGUUCACCGAGGUGUAUGGAGAGUCAAAGGCGGAGGAUAAGGAGAGUACAUGGAGGGCUCUUCGAAAUCUGCAUGGGCAGGACAAGCUAGCGUGGGUUUGCAUGGGUGAUUUUAAUGAAAUAUUAUUUGCGGGAGAGAAGGAAGGAGGGCCGGCUCGGGCCCAGGGAAGCAUGCAAGCCUUCAGAAGAACCUUGGAACACUGUGAGCUUGAGGACUUGGGCUUUGUCAGCGACCCGUUCACAUGGAGAAAUAACUGGAGAGACACGAUCGGGUAUACAAAGGAGCGACUGGAUAGGGCAGUAGCAAAUGUUGAGUGGAGGUGCUUGUUUCCAUUGCACAAAAUCAUUAACAGGGAUCCGAGACAUUCUGACCACCGCCCCGUUAUUGCUGAACUAAAUGCGCAAGAUAAAUCCCUGGGCGUUGGAAGGGGUCAAAGAUGUUUCUGCUUCGAGGCAUGGUGGCUACAGGAGGAAGGGUGUCAUGAGGUUGUGGAGGAGGCAUGGAAUAAUGCGUUCUAG